UACGUAGGGGGCAAGCGUUGUCCGGAAUCAUUGGGCGUAAAGAGCGUGUAGGCGGCUCGAUAAGUCUGCUGUGAAAGUCCAGGGCUCAACCCUGGAAGGCCGGUGGAUACUGUCGGGCUAGAGUGCGGAAGAGGCGAGUGGAAUUCCUGGUGUAGCGGUGAAAUGCGCAGAUAUCGGGAGGAACACCAGUGGCGAAGGCGACUUCCUGGCCUGUUCUUGACGCUGAGGCGCGAAAGCUAGGGGAGCAAACAGG
rnacentral:rRNA from 1 species